AGGCGUUCGGACUGGUCCAGGGAGGUGGGCAACUACCACCCAGGACCGGAAAGUUCUCCAAACUUGGUCAUUUAGAGGAAGUAAAAGUCGUAACAAGGUCUCCGUUGGUGAACCAGCGGAGGGAUCAUUA
rnacentral:rRNA from 1 species